rnacentral:tRNA from 1 species
GCUGUGGCUCAAUAGUAAAGCAUCUGCCUAGCAUGCAAAAGGUCCCGGGUUCGAAUCCCGGCGUCUCCA